rnacentral:rRNA from 1 species
UACAGGGGGGGCAAGCGUUGUUCGGAAUUACUGGGCGUAAAGGGCCAGUAGGCGGCCAACUAAGUCCGACGUGAAAUCCCCAGGCUUAACCUGGGAACUGCGUCGGAUACUGGAUGGCUUGAAUUCGGGAGAGGGAUGCAGAAUUCCAGGUGUAGCGGUGAAAUGCGUAGAUAUGCGGAGGAACACCGAUGGCGAAGGCAAUCCCCUGGACCUGUACUGACGCUCAUGCACGAAAGCGUGGGGAGCAAACAGG